GACGAACGCUGGCGGCGUGCUUAACACAUGCAAGUCGAACGGUAAGGCUCCAGCUUGCUGGGGUACACGAGUGGCGAACGGGUGAGUAACACGUGGGUGACCUGCCCUGCACUUCGGGAUAAGCCUGGGAAACUGGGUCUAAUACCGGAUAGGACCGCACCGUGAGGGUGUGGUGGAAAGUUUUUUCGGUGUGGGAUGGGCCCGCGGCCUAUCAGCUUGUUGGUGGGGUAAUGGCCUACCAAGGCGGCGACGGGUAGCCGGCCUGAGAGGGUGGACGGCCACAUUGGGACUGAGACACGGCCCAGACUCCUACGGGAGGCAGCAGUGGGGAAUAUUGCACAAUGGGCGGAAGCCUGAUGCAGCGACGCCGCGUGGGGGAUGACGGCCUUCGGGUUGUAAACUCCUUUCACCAUCGACGAAGGGUUUCUGACGGUAGAUGGAGAAGAAGCACCGGCUAACUACGUGCCAGCAGCCGCGGUAAUACGUAGGGUGCGAGCGUUGUCCGGAAUUACUGGGCGUAAAGAGCUCGUAGGUGGUUUGUCGCGUCGUCUGUGAAAUUCCGGGGCUUAACUCCGGGCGUGCAGGCGAUACGGGCAUAACUUGAGUACUGUAGGGGAGACUGGAAUUCCUGGUGUAGCGGUGAAAUGCGCAGAUAUCAGGAGGAACACCGGUGGCGAAGGCGGGUCUCUGGGCAGUAACUGACGCUGAGGAGCGAAAGCAUGGGGAGCGAACAGGAUUAGAUACCCUGGUAGUCCAUGCCGUAAACGGUGGGCGCUAGGUGUGGGUUUCCUUCCACGGGAUCCGUGCCGUAGCUAACGCAUUAAGCGCCCCGCCUGGGGAGUACGGCCGCAAGGCUAAAACUCAAAGGAAUUGACGGGGGCCCGCACAAGCGGCGGAGCAUGUGGAUUAAUUCGAUGCAACGCGAAGAACCUUACCUGGGCUUGACAUAUACAGGAUCGCGCCAGAGAUGGUGUUUCCCUUGUGGCUUGUAUACAGGUGGUGCAUGGUUGUCGUCAGCUCGUGUCGUGAGAUGUUGGGUUAAGUCCCGCAACGAGCGCAACCCUUGUCUUAUGUUGCCAGCACGUUGUGGUGGGGACUCGUAAGAAACUGCCGGGGUUAACUCGGAGGAAGGUGGGGAUGACGUCAAAUCAUCAUGCCCCUUAUGCCCAGGGCUUCACACAUGCUACAAUGGUCGGUACAGUGGGUUGCCAGUCCGUGAGGGCGAGCUAAUCCCGCAAAGCCGGUCUCAGUUCGGAUCGGGGUCUGCUACUCGACCCCGUGAAGUCGGAGUCGCUAGUAAUCGCAGAUCAGCAACGCUGCGGUGAAUACGUUCCCGGGCCU
rnacentral:rRNA from 1 species